GGAACAUGAUGAUGGCUUGUCCA
rnacentral:siRNA from 1 species